rnacentral:rRNA from 1 species
AUUCCUACGGGAGGCAGCAGUGGGGAAUCAUGGUCAAUGGGCGAAAGCCUGAACCUGCGACGCCCGUGAGUGAUGAAGGUCGUAAGAUCGUAAAACUCUUUUCAGGGACAUUAAAGCUCCGGCUCUAACAGAGCCUGGAGUCUGACUCUCCCUGGAAUAAGCCCCAGCCAACUACGUGCCAGCAGGUGCGGUAAUACGUAGGGGGCGAGCGUUAUUCGGAAUUACUGGGUGUAAAGGGUAUGUAGGCGGCCUCAUAAGUCGCGUGUCAAAGUCCAGUGCUUAACGCUGGGUCCGCACGUGAUACUGUGUGGCUAGAGGGCUGGAGAGGUGAGCGGAAUUCCCGGUGUAGUGGUAAGAUACGUAGAUAUCGGGAGGAACACCAGCGGCGUAGGCGGCUCACUAGACAGUUUCGACGCUAAGAUACGAAAGCGUAGGGAGCAAACAGGAUUAGAUACCCUGGUAGUCCACGCCCUAAACGAUGGAUACUUGGUGUUGGGGGGUUGCCCUCAGUGCCGGAGCUAACGCGUUAAGUAUCCCACCUGGGGACUACGGCCGCAAGGCUAAAACUCAAAGGAAUUGACGGGGGCCCGCACAAGCAGCGAGGUAUGUGGUUUAAUUCGACGCUACGCGAAGAACCUUACCUGGGCUUGACAUGCUUGAGAAAGAGCCAAGAAACUGGCUUUCUCAUGACCGCAAGGCCCCUCCCUCAUCCACAGGUGCUGCAUGGUGGUCGUCAGCUCGUGUCGUGAGAUGUAGGGUUAAGUCCUUGAAGAAGCGCAACCCCUGUCGCUAGUUGCUAACCAGUAAUGGUGCACCCUAGCGAUACUGCCAGCUAAAAGUUGGAGGAAGGAGGGGAUGACGUCAAAUCCUCAUGGCCUUUAUGUCCAGGGCUACACACAUGCGACAAUGAUCGGUACAACGGGUCGCAACACCGCGAGGCGAAGCCAAUCCCUUAAAACCGACCUCAGUUCGGAUUGCAGGCUGCAAUUCGCCUGCAUGAAGAUGGAGUUGCUAGUAACGGCAGGUCAGCAUCACUGCCGUGAAUAUGUUCCCGGGCCUUGUACACACCGCCAUCCAUAUGUUUG